ensembl:snRNA U6 U6 spliceosomal RNA
GUGCUCGCUUAGGCAGCACAUAUACUAAAAUUGAAACGAUACAGAAUAGAUUAGCAUGGCCCCUGCGCAAGGACGACACGCAAAUUUCAAAAUGUUAAAUGUUCCUUU